rnacentral:rRNA from 1 species
AGCCCUAAGUGGGUGGUAAACUCCAUCUAAGGCUAAAUAUGACCACGAGACCGAUAGCGAACAAGUACCGUGAGGGAAAGUUGAAAAGCACUUUGAAGAGAGAGUUCAAGAGUACGUGAAACCGUUUAGGGGUAAACCUGAGAAACCCGAAAGGUCGAAGGGAGAAAUUCAUUCGCGUUUCGCCGUUGGCGUGAGGCGGUCGUGUGACGAAGAACGUUCGCGCGUUUUUCGCACCUUCCGUUUUUCGAUCCGAUAGCGAACGCGUGCACUUUUCUCCUGGUAGGACGUCGCGAUCCGUUGGGUGUCGGUCUACGGCUCGCGGUGGAGCCCGAAUGUGCACUUUGCACGUUCGGACCCGCGUGUCCCGGCCGACUCGCUCGACGGUAUACGUGAAAGGUUUAAGGCCGCUCUCGGAGCGUUCGGCUCGUAGCAAGCACGUCAGAUGCUGUCGGCGAUCGGACCUAGUGCCGGUUCUGACCUCUGGCGACUGUUGGCUGCGAAGUUCUCGAACAGACCUUACGACCGAUCUGCGACGCUAUAGCUUUGGGUACUUUCAG